GCUCCUCUCCUCAGGGCCGCUGCACGAUAACGCCUAAGACGUAAGCUAUUAUUUUCCGUGCUGUUGUCAGGUAUUUCUUGGACAAAGAUGAACUGCAGGCGGCAGAUUUCCGUUUUUGUAGCCUUGGCUGUCGGACUACAUAUUGUCGUGGUUACGAAUGGUACCAAAAGUGAUGUUUAUGUCAGAACAAUGAAUGGUUCUUGUGCUUACCAUAACUUGACCGUACAAGAUAAAAAACACGUGACAAUGGAAUGGCCUUGCGCAAGAGUUUAUUGUAAUGUUACAGGUGGCAUGGUUACAGUGUAUGGGU
rnacentral:lncRNA from 1 species